rnacentral:rRNA from 1 species
UACGUAGGGGGCAAGCGUUGUCCGGAAUUAUUGGGCGUAAAGAGCGUGUAGGCGGCCAGAUAAGUCCGCUGUGAAAUCUCGAGGCUCAACUUCGAGCUGUCGGUGGAAACUAUCUGGCUAGAGUCCGGAAGAGGAGAAUGGAAUUCCUGGUGUAGCGGUGAAAUGCGCAGAUAUCAGGAAGAACACCCGUGGCGAAGGCGGUUCUCUGGGACGGUACUGACGCUGGAGACGCGGAAAGCGUGGG